AAAUGCGAUAAGUAAUGUGAAUCGCAGAAUUCCGUGAAUCAUCGAAUCUUUGAACGCACAUUGCGCCCUCUGGCAUUCCGGGGGGCAUGCCUGUCCGAGCGUCAUUACGCACCCUCAAGCCCGGCUUGUGUGAUGGGCCCCGGCGUCUCGUUCGCGAGACGGGCCCGAAAGGCAGCGGCGGCGUCGACCCGAUGAGCCCGAGCGUAUGGGGACUUCUGUCACACGUUCGCGGUGCGGACCGGCGCCUGCUUGACUUUUCUGAUUAUCCAGGUUGACCUCGGAUCAGGUAGGGAUACCCGCUGAACUUAAGC
rnacentral:misc_RNA from 1 species